AGUCUGUCAAAGAACCAAGAGAGACUCAGAGUGGAGCACGCUGUAAAGAUCAAGACAUCGUGUACAUGCUUUAGAAAGUGCUGUGCUACUUUGCUUCUGCACAUGCAGACUGCCUGGGUGCUGAAUGCACAGGGGAAAAAAGACCAAUGAGAAAAUAGCACCUAAGAAUGCAGCGCGGUACUGACAGCUAUGCACUUUUAGCUGCAGAACACCCUUGCUGCUGAGGUCCAGGGCUAUGGUUUCACUUACCUGACAUAAGCAGAUGGUGAAAUACACUCCAGGGAGCUGGGUGGACCAACAUUCUGCACAGGGAAGGCAACUAGAGAGCCAAGGCCAGAACAUUUUGAGGCUUCUUCAGAUAUCACUCGUUCUUCGCACGAACUUGGAUAAAUCACUGGUUCUUCCUCACCCUGAGCUGCCCCAUGUGUGGAGUGCAGCUGUGAUGCGUGGAAUCCGCGUGAGUGUUGGUACCACUUGCAUAUGUAAGGGACUCAAUGGUUUUUUGCAAUGGCUCACACAUAGGAACAAGUCAACACCGACAACUGACUGCACUGUGAUGAAGUUCCAGAAACGAUACUCAAGUCUGAACUUUGAUUUGUACUAGGAAGCUGCUGCCUUGAGUACAUGGGCACUGGGAAGUGAAGAUUGGCUUGUCAUGCUCCCCUUUCCUGUGUCAUCUAUGUGGUCAGUGUUGCACAUGCUGAAGUGAUAAGGUGUACAGCCGGGAGCAAAGCAGGAGGUGAACCUAAAGAAGCUGCUUGUGCAGAAAGUAAGGAUGUGCUCAAAAUCUGACAAGUCAGUCUGUGAGCACAGGAGCCAGACUGAAGGAGCAGUGAGUGGAGACUGCAGGGUGGAGGUGUGGGUCCUGCAGAAGAGUGAUCCAGGUAGAACAGCGUCCUCCCGGGAAGCACAGAUGCUGCUGUGAGCUCAAGGAGAAGUAGAGGGCCAGGGAAGCUGGACUGAGAAAGCAAAGUGCAAAACAUUCAUUCAACAGCUGUCAGAGAGGUUCUGGGGACCCCACACGAAGGGCCUGUGAUCCACUCCUGAGGACGUGGAUGUCAACUCUGAGUGCUGGGAAGCUGAUGGUGGAUUGUGAUCGAAGAGCCCCGCUGGCCUGACUCAUAUUUGGAAAGGACCA